AACGAACGCUGGCGGCAGGCUUAACACAUGCAAGUCGAACGGAUGUAGCAAUACAUCAGUGGCAGACGGGUGAGUAACACGUGGGAACCUUCCUCGUUGUACGGGACAACUCAGGGAAACUUGAGCUAAUACCGUAUACGUCCGAGAGGAGAAAGAUUUAUCGCAAUGAGACGGGCCCGCGUCGGAUUAGCUAGUUGGUGGGGUAACGGCCUACCAAGGCGACGAUCCGUAGCUGANCUGAGAGGAUGAUCAGCCACACUGGGACUGAGACACGGCCCAGACUCCUACGGGAGGCAGCAGUGGGGAAUCUUGGACAAUGGGCGCAAGCCUGAUCCAGCCAUGCCGCGUGAGUGAAGAAGGCCUUAGGGUUGUAAAGCUCUUUUGCCAGGGACGAUAAUGACGGUACCUGGAGAAUAA
rnacentral:rRNA from 1 species